rnacentral:rRNA from 1 species
CAGCCCUUGACAUGGGAAGUAUGGGGUCCGGAGACGGACUCCUUCAGUUCGGCUGGCUUCCACACAGGUGCUGCAUGGCUGUCGUCAGCUCGUGUCGUGAGAUGUUGGGUUAAGUCCCGCAACGAGCGCAACCCUCAUCUUCAGUUGCCAUCGGGUCAAGCUGGGCACUCUGAAGAAACCGCCGGUGACAAGCCGGAGGAAGGCGGGGAUGACGUCAAGUCCUCAUGGCCCUUAUGGGCUGGGCUACACACGUGCUACAAUGGCGGUGACAAUGGGACGCGAUGGGGCGACCCGGAGCCAAUCUCAAAAAGCCGUCUCAGUUCAGAUUGCACUCUACAACUCGAGUGCAUGAAGGUGGAAUCGCUAGUAAUCGUGGAUCAGCAUGCCACGGUGAAUA